UACGUAGGGUGCAAGCGUUGUCCGGAAUUAUUGGGCGUAAAGAGCUCGUAGGCGGUUUGUCGCGUCUGCUGUGAAAACUGGAGGCUCAACCUCCAGCCUGCAGUGGGUACGGGCAAACUAGAGUGCGGUAGGGGAGAUUGGAAUUCCUGGUGUAGCGGUGGAAUGCGCAGAUAUCAGGAGGAACACCGAUGGCGAAGGCAGAUCUCUGGCCGUAACUGACGCUGAGGAGCGAAAGCGUGGGGAGCGAACAGG
rnacentral:rRNA from 1 species